CUUUUUAUCUUCAGUUUUUCGCAUGGAACUUAGAAAUUUAUAGGAUUAAAAUGAUUAAAUUUUAAUAUACCUCAUUCCCCUCUCCUAGAAGAACGCAUUUUCAUGGACAAAUAUCAUCGUUAUCUCAAAUAUAACCUUUGGAGAAUUGUUUAAAAUCGAUUCUACUAUACAACAUCGAUGUAGAAAAUGAAAAAACCACACAGCAGGUUAUCAAGUUUUGUUUCGCUGUUUGUUCGUUCCUCAUUUCUCUGACGAUUGUGCUGGUACCAUCAUCACGAUCUAAUUCAAAUUGCGUGGUCCUUGCACUAGUUUCCAGGACUUCUGAGUGAGGAUAAAAUCCAACUCAAAGAACUUUGCUAAGCAGCUCUGCCUCACACAGAAUAUUGAUUUCAUAGUUUUGUUUGACAUUUUUAACUACAGACUUUAACAUAGAAAUUUAUUUUGCCAAAUUUUAUUUAUCUUUAACAUAUAACAACGUUCAAUGGCUAAACAAAACACAAAAUAUCAUGAAUAAACUUCAA